GAUGAUAUGAUGCUGACAUGUAAAGACCUGCCUCUGCUAUGGGACACUCUGCAGACUUUGCUGGAACAUCUGAGUCGGAGGAUGUGUGGUGAACCCGCGGGAAGCUCAAGACCCAGGCACCGCCGUUCAGGUUGAGCCUCUCACGAGGGGAGAGCACAUCACGGCGCUGAACACCGCCCGCCCCCCCGACACUGGCAUUCAGAGAGCUGAUGCCCCAGCCCAGGUAAAGCCACCUUGGCCGGGUGGACGAAAGGAUUGUUGCAGGCUUAAUGCAUUUGAAUGACCAACCAACCACCCCAUCUACCAGUCUGGGGACCCCUGCCAAAGCACCCAAUUCCAAAAAGGUAUUGGAGUCUCCGGAGAUAACGACUGCCCUGACUCUCACGGUGGAUCAAUGCGCUGGGCUGCUGAGGACACCAAGCCCCAUCCCGCCUGGGAGGGGCAUUAUCUACUGGAAUUUACAAUGGGAUGUCCCACCG